UACGUAGGGCGCAAGCGUUGUCCGGAAUUAUUGGGCGUAAAGAGCUCGUAGGCGGUUUGUCGCGUCUGUCGUGAAAGCUUGGGGCUUAACCCCAAGUCUGCGGUGGAUACGGGCAGACUAGAGGCAGGUAGGGGAGAACGGAAUUCCCGGUGUAGCGGUGAAAUGCGCAGAUAUUGGGAGGAACACCGGUGGCGAAGGCGGUUCUCUGGGCCGAUACUGACGCUGAGGAGCGAAAGCGUGGGGAGCGAACAGG
rnacentral:rRNA from 1 species